UACGUAGGCAGCGAGCGUUGUUCGGAGUUACUGGGCGUAAAGGGUGCGUAGGCGGUUGUUUAAGUUUGGUGUGAAAUCUCCCGGCUCAACUGGGAGGGUGCGCCGAAUACUGAAUGACUAGAGUGCGGGGGAGGAUAGUGGAAUUCCUGGUGUAGCGGUGAAAUGCGUAGAUAUCUGGAGGAACACCGGCGGCGAAGGCGGCGAACUGGUCGAAUAUUGACACUCAUACACGAAAGCGUGGGGAUCAAACAGG
rnacentral:rRNA from 1 species